rnacentral:rRNA from 1 species
AUGUCACAGUAUGUGAAUGAGCUGCAACAUUUUUGGGCAGAUCUAGAUCAGUGUGAUCCUGUUGACCUUCCACAUGCAGAGUCCAUGGAGAUUGCCAGGAAUUGGGUUGAGCGCAGGCGUGUGAUGCAAUUUCUCAAAGGUCUAGAUCAAGGUUUUGAGAGCAGCACAAUGUGCUGCUUCAUCAACGAUGCUUUUGUCCUUGAUGAGGCCAUUGUUGCGAUGUCCCAAGAAGAGGUACACUCUAGUCGAGAAGAGGAGAUGGAAAUGAAUCUGCUUAUAGAGUGGCUGACCAGUGAGGUUUUAGGGGUGUUAUAA